CUAACGCAAUGUAUUGUCAAAAAAGGUGUACAAUGUGAAACAGUUGGCAAUCAUUAGUACUAAAAUGGUGCUAUAGUCGGAAACAUUAUGAUACGUAUUUAAUUGCAGAUCGAUCAAAAACAAAUUUUACUAAGCGUACAUAUUUUCGAAAAUAAAUGUGACCCUUUAUCAACGUACAGAAUGCAGAUAGUGCAUUUUUCUUGGGGUCUCAUUUGGUACAUUUUAUCUACUUCUCAAGUUAAUGCUGAUUAUAAUAUUAUAUUAACACAUGAUGGCCCUGUAGUAUUAGGUGGAACUAUUACAUUUAAAGCUGAUAUCUUUUAUAAUGGUAUAAGACCAUCAGAAACAUUUAGAUAUAAAUGGAGUGACAAUGCAUUAACUCCUCAUAUAUACGAGACAGGGGCUAUAUCAAAUACAACAACAUAUUGGAAUUUAAAUAUUGCUCAUGAAAAUUAUACAAUUGGAAAAUAUGAAGUUGAAGUAGUGGUUUAUAAAUAUGUCGUGCUUUGGUGGCAGGAUGUUACCAGUGCCCGUACCGAGUUUUAUGUAACUGAAUCUUUCAAUGGAGACAUCAAAGUUAUACAGCCCAACAAAACAUCAGUGGAUACAUAUGUCUCUUCAGCAUCUGAAGCAAACAUGACAAUAAAUAUAAGAAAAGGAGAUAUGGAUUAUUUGAUGAAAGCCACAUCAGUAUCAAUUUAUUGGUUUAUAGAUUGCAGAUAUUUUGGUCAAACGAAUGACUUAAAUUUCCUCUAUAAUUUUACAACUCCCGAUACAUCACAUGUGUUAGAAGCUUUGGUUGUUGCAUCAUACGAUUCACCAACAACAACUGUUCCACCUACUACAACGGUUCUACCAGUAACAACAACAAUUACUCCUUCUAGUAUAACUGUGCCAAAUGUUACAAUAUCAAAUACUACAACAGAAGAUGUGGUAACUACUACCAUAUCUAGUAAAAGCAUAACUGCAAAACCAAUAUUAAUAUCUACAACAAUACCUAUACCUCUAAAUAAUUCAGAAAAUGUCAGUAUUUCCAAUGUAAAUAUUUCUUUACCUUAUAUUUGUUCCAACUCUUCGAUAAUUCCACCAGAUCCUAAUAAAACAUAUGGGCACUUCACCAAAAAAAUUGAUGUUCGUGCACCUAUAAUGAAUAUAUCAGUAGAGGGUACAAAUUGGAUUCAACCAUGGGAUAUGUUAUCUCUUAAUGUAACAUGUAAAGGUUCAGGACCUUUUAAUAAGUGCCUUUAUUUUCAUAGAGGGAAGUAUAAUGUUACGGGAAAUGAAACAUGCGAUACAGAAGAUAAUCUUUAUUCUUGUAAUUUUUCCAUCAUACAUUAUUUCUUGGAACCUAGCAUAUAUACAAUAUUAAUUAUAUUAGAUAAUGACGUCAGUAAACAAAUUUAUCCCUUGACAAUAAAUAUUUAUAAAGUAACAACAAAGCCACAGUUAUCGGUGAUUGUGGUACCUGUUUCUUGUUCUCUUGCUGCUGCGGUACUCAUUAUUUUUGGCAUUGCAUAUUACAUACAAAGUAAAGCAAGAUUUACAGUGGAAGUUGCAGAUUUUGACUUUGGUCAAAAUAAUCCAGAAAUGGAGUAUAAAACAUUCACAGAACGUUUAAGAGAUUCGAUUAAUAACGCUAUAAGACCAGGAAGCAAACGGAUAAGUGUAUGCCAGCCCUAUUAUGGCAGCAUGAAUCGUUAACAAGUACAGAUUGUACAGACUACAUAUUCUUUGACUGUCCAUGACAGUCUUCACACAUUGCAAAAUAAUGGUUACAAACCUCUUAGUAAUUCUCAAACUAUUCAGUGAUGUUUAAAAUGAAGACAAAAGUAUUGAAAUUAUCAAGUAUUCGGACUAAAGGCUAUGGGAGAUUGAACAAGUGAAGAAGAUACUAAACGAAAUGAAUUACAAGAAGAGUUUCAAAAUUAAUAUAUCUUACGACAUUUUUAAGUAUCAAAUAAUUUAAUCAGGAAGUUAUUAAUAUUAUAUUAUUAAUAAUGCGAAUUUAUUCAUUCCAAUGAAUUUAUAAACGAAAUUAAAAUUGUAUAUAGAAUAAAUAAAUAUUGUAUAUAUAGGCUGUGUACAUAGUAAUAAGAUAUUGCUUUUGAUGUUUUGCGGAAAUGAAGCUAUAAUAUUAAAUUAUAAUAUUUUUUCUAGAAUUUUAACAUUGUGAAAUUUCAUGAAACACAUUUUUUCUACUUUUAAUGUGUUUAACUUCGGAUUACUGGAUUCAUGUACUACUUAACUCAUACAUCACAAGAAAAAUAUUGGUAAGCACGUAAUUAUAUAAGCAUGUAGAUAACCAAUUACAAAAGCGUGAUAAACAGAAAGAUAUAAUACUUAUUUGAAUGAUACAUCUCGUAAUGCGAAUUUUUCGUAUGUGUAUGUGCUUCUACACAUAUAUGCAAUACCGCAUCGCAAUUUGCAUAUACGUAUAUAGUAUUAAAUUUAAUUACCCAGAUAUAUGAAAGUAUUUCAGUAAGUUAUUCAGCUAAAACUACUUAUAAAAAAAAUGUUAAGUUAGAUUGCGAUUUCAAUGAUUCAGUUAUAAAGUAACCUAUUAAAUAGUAUUUAAUAAAUAAAAAUGUUCUUGUAAAGAA